GAUGAACGCUGGCGGCGUGCCUAAUACAUGCAAGUCGAACGCUGGAGAUCUAGCUUGCCAGAUCGAAGGAGUGGCGAACGGGUGAGUAAUACAUAAGCAACCUACCCACGAAGACUGGGAUAAUCUCUGGAAACGGGGACUAAUACCGGAUAGGUAAUCGGAAGGCAUCUUCUGGUUAUUAAAGGUUAAAAACACUGGUGGAUGGGCUUAUGGCGCAUUAGUUAGUUGGUGAGGUAACGGCCCACCAAGACGAUGAUGCGUAGCCGGCCUGAGAGGGUGAACGGCCACAUUGGGACUGAGACACGGCCCAGACUCCUACGGGAGGCAGCAGUAGGGAAUUUUCGGCAAUGGGGGCAACCCUGACCGAGCAACGCCGCGUGAGUGAAGACGGCCUUCGGGUUGUAAAGCUCUGUUGUAAGGGAAGAACGGUAGAUAGAGAAUAUCUAAGUGACGGUACCUUACCAGAAAGCCACGGCUAACUACGUGCCAGCAGCCGCGGUAAUACGUAGGUGGCGAGCGUUAUCCGGAAUUAUUGGGCGUAAAGGGUGCGUAGGCGGCCUGUUAAGUAAGUGGUUAAAUUGUUGGGCUCAACCCAAUCCAGCCACUUAAACUGGCAGGCUAGAGUAUUGGAGAGGCAAGUGGAAUUCCAUGUGUAGCGGUAAAAUGCGUAGAUAUAUGGAGGAACACCAGUGGCGAAGGCGGCUUGCUAGCCAAAGACUGACGCUCAUGCACGAAAGCGUGGGGAGCAAAUAGG
rnacentral:rRNA from 1 species